rnacentral:lncRNA from 1 species
UAAAAAAUAAAUUUGGGUUCGGUUCGGGUUCAGAUUCGGGUUGGAUUCGGUCAAAAUUGAUAUCCCAAUCUAUAUCCAUCGAAUUUUUAUUUUUAAUAUCCAUAUCCAUAUCCGUUUAGCAUUUAAUAAACUCGCUCCGUUUAAAUUCCGGUUCCGGUAAAAUUUCGAGUAUCCAUAACCAUCGACAUUUCAGAUAUCAAUUUUGAUCGAAUCCAACCCGAACCUGAACCCGAACCAAACCCAAAUUUAUUUUUUUAUUAUAUGUAAUAUGUAUAAUAACAUUUGAUGUUAUAUUCGAAUUUGUAUUUUAAAAUUUUAAAUUUAAUGUAAUAUAUUUUGAAAUAUUGAAAAUAGAAAUAAUUGUUUCGGAUUUGAGUUUGGGUUCGGGUUUUGAAAUGUUUGUCGGAUUUGGGUUUGGAUAUGGAUAUUGAAAAUCUAUUGGGUUCGGGUUUGGUUCGAAUUCGGAUUUCAAGUUUGGAGUCAGGUGGGUUCGAAUUUUUAAAAAUUCGCCCUGAAUAUGGCCAGUUGACAUUUAUAUAUAGUAGGGA